rnacentral:rRNA from 1 species
GACGAACGCUGGCGGCGUGCUUAACACAUGCAAGUCGAACGGAAAGGCCCCUUUGGGGGUACUCGAGUGGCGAACGGGUGAGUAACACGUGAGUAACCUGCCCUUGACUUCGGGAUAACUUCAGGAAACUGGGGCUAAUACCGGAUAGGAAUCCUUGCUGCAUGGUGGGGGUUGGAAAGCUUCGGCGGUUUUGGAUGGACUCGCGGCUUAUCAGCUUGUUGGUGGGGUAGUGGCUUACCAAGGCUUUGACGGGUAGCCGGCCUGAGAGGGCGACCGGCCACUUUGGGACUGAGAUGCGGCCCAGACUCCUACGGGAGGCAGCAGGGGGGAAAAUUGCAAAAGGGGCGGAAGCCUAAGGCAGCAACGCCGCGUGGGGGGUGACGGCCUUCGGGUUGAAAACCGCUUUCAGGGGGGGCGAAGUUUGUGGGGACGGUACCGGCAGAAAAAGCACCGGCAAAUUACGG